UCCUAUCCCAUGUUACUCAUGGUAGGGGGAGGCGACCCCAAAGGCGAGGCUGAAGAGCGGAGGCGAUGGGAAACGGGUGAAUAUUCCCGUACUCGGUAUGAAUGCGAUGGGGGGACGGAGCAGGCUAGGCAAGCAUGGCGUUGGUUGUCCAUGUGAAAGGCUGUAGGCUGGUGACUUAGGAAAAUCCGGGUUGCCAAGGCUGAGAGUCGAGACGAGCCACUAAGGUGGUGAAGUUGUUGAUGCCCUACUUCCAGGAAAAGCCUCUAAGCUUCAGUUCAUACUGAAUCGUACCCUAAACCGACACAGGUGGUCAGGUAGAGAAUACUAAGGCGCUUGAGAGAACUCGGGUGAAGGAACUAGGCAAAAUUGUACCGUAACUUCGGGAGAAGGUACGCUCUUGUUUGUGAAAGACUUGCUCUGUAAGCAAACGAGAGCCG
rnacentral:rRNA from 1 species